UGCCCGGUCUUUGCCCCGGAUCAACUAAAAUAGUUAUGACGGUUUCCGACACGGGAAAAUGGAAUAUUGCACGACGACAGAAAUUUCAGACCUCGCUCCGAAUGACUCUUGUCGAUGUGCAAAACAUUU
rnacentral:snoRNA from 1 species